GAGCGAUUUAAUGAGCUGUAAAUCAAAUGGAUCAGAGAAGCCCAGGAGUUCAGGCAAACAGGGAGCCAGCUUCUGAAUCUCCUAGAAUUCCUGGCCUCAAGACCGUUGGGCCCCGACUGCCGUGUACAAAGCAGGAUUUUCACCAUUCUCAUCAGCUUCUGGACUCCUGGAUCCCAUCCCACAGCAAAAUUACCUUCUGCACAAGUGCAAUCUUGACUUCCUUCCUCAUCUGAACUGUGGCAAGGUACACCAAUAGCAAA